UCAGUCGAACGAAGUCGCAAGGGGAGUGGCAGACGCGUGAGUAACGCGUGGGAAUCUAGCGUGCCCUGCGCCAAGAUCACCAGAGAGAAUUAAUACCGCAUACGCCCUACGGGGGAAAGAUUUAUCGGGGUAUGAUGAGAGCCCGCGUUGGAUUAGCUAGUUGGUGGCGUAAAGGCCUACCAAGGCGACGAUCCAUAGCUGGUCUGAGAGGAUGAUCAGCCACAUUGGGACUGAGACACGGCCCAAACUGCCCGAGAGGCAGCAGUGGGGAAUAUUGGACACUGCGAGCAAGCCUGAUCCAGCCAUGCCGCGUGAGUGAUGAAGGCCUUAGGGUUGUAAAGCUCUUUCAACGGAGAAGAUAAUGACGGUAUCCGGAGAAGAAGCCCCGGCUAACUUCGUGCCAGCAGCCGCGGUAAUACGAAGGUGGCUAGCGUUGUUCGGAAUUACUGGGCGUAAAGCGCACGUAGGCGGAUAUUUAAGUCAGGGGUGAAAUCCCAGAGCUCAACUCUGGAACUGCCUUUGAUACUGGGUAUCUUGAGUAUGGAAGAGGUAAGUGGAAGUCCGAGUGUAGAGGUGAAAUGCGUAGAUAUUCGGAGGAACACCAGUGGCGAAGGCGGCUUACUGGUCCAUUACUGACGCUGAGGUGCGAAACGGUGGGGAGCAAACAGGAUUAGAUACCCUGGUAGUCCACGCCGUAAAAGAUGAAUGUUAGCCGUCGGGCAGUAUACUGUUCGGUGGCGCAGCUAACGCAUUAAACAUUCCGCCUGGGGAGUACGGUCGCAAGAUUAGAACUCAAAGGAAUUGACGGGGGCCCGCACAAGCGGUGGAGCAUGUGGUUUGAUAGGCCAACGCGCAGAACCUUACCAGCUCUUGACAUUCGGGGUUUGGGCAGUGGAGACAUUGUGAACUCAGUUAGGCUGGCCCCAGAACAGGUGCUGCAUGGCUGUCGUCAGCUCGUGUCGUGAGAUGUUGGGUUAAGUCCCGCAACGAGCGCAACCCUCGCCCUUAGUUGCCAGCAUUUAGUUGGGCACUCUAAGGGGACUGCCGGUGAUAAGCCGAGAGGAAGGUGGGGAUGACGUCAAGUCCUCAUGGCCCUUACGGGCUGGGCUACACACGUGCUACAAUGGUGGUGACAGUGGGCAGCGAAACAGCGAUGUCGAGCUAAUCUCCAAAAGCCAUCUCAGUUCGGAUUGCACUCUGCAACUCGAGUGCAUGAAGUUGGAAUCGCAUGUAAUCGCAGAUCAGCAUGCUGCGGUGAGGCCAGUUCCCGGGCCUUGUACACACCGCCCGUCACACCAUGGGAGUUG
rnacentral:rRNA from 1 species